rnacentral:rRNA from 1 species
GCCAGCAGCUAUAUCAUCAUGAUACUUACAACUGGCAAUCGACUGAAGCUUAGCUAGUGGGAGCCUUGCCAGUACCUGGAUGGGAGACCUCAUGGGAAAGCCAAAGUUGCUGCUGGAG